rnacentral:rRNA from 1 species
CUUACUUUCCUGAAUCUAGUGGCGAACGGGUGAGUAACACGUAGGUAACCUGCCCAUGUGCCCGGGAUAACUUCUGGAAACGGAUGCUAAAAACCGGAUAGGUAGCAGACAAGCAUUUGACUGCUAUUAAAGUGGCUUUUGCCAUGAACAUGGAUGGACCUGCGGUGCAUUAGCUAGUUGGUGAGGUAACGGCCCACCAAGGCGACGAUGCAUAGCCGGCCUGAGAGGUUGAACGGCCACAUUGGGACUGAGAUACGGCCCAGACUCC